rnacentral:rRNA from 1 species
UACGGGGGGGGGCAAGCGUUGUUCGGAAUUACUGGGCGUAAAGGGCUUGUAGGUGGCCAACUAAGUCAGACGUGAAAUCCCUCGGCUUAACCGGGGAACUGCGUCUGAUACUGGAUGGCUUGAGUGUGGGAGAGGGAUGCGGAAUUCCAGGUGUAGCGGUGAAAUGCGUAGAUAUCUGGAGGAACACCGGUGGCGAAGGCAGCACUCUGGGACGGUACUGACGCUGAGACGCGAAAGCGUGGGGAGCGAACAGG